UACGGGGGGGUGCGAGCGUUGUCCGGAAUCACUGGGCGUAAAGGGCGCGUAGGUGGCGUGAUAAGGGUGUGGUGAAAGCCCGGGGCUCAACCCCGGGUCUGCCAUGCCGACUGUCAGGCUAGAGUACUGUAGGGGCAGGCGGAAUUCCGGGUGUAGCGGUGGAAUGCGUAGAGAUCCGGAGGAAGACCGGUGGCGAAGGCGGCCUGCUGGGCAGUUACUGACACUGAGGCGCGACAGCGUGGGAGCAAACAGG
rnacentral:rRNA from 1 species